ACUAGUAGAAAAAUAGAAAAAGCCACCCCACUUUUGCCACCGGUUCUUAAAAACCGGUGUGAAAAAUAAUGGGGUUGAAUUUGGAUAAUCACUUUUGCCACCGGUACCUGAAAAACCGGUGCCUAAUUCUAAUUUUUUUUUGAAAAAAAAAGGAGGAAAACAGAUUUUCCACCGGUUCAAACCAAACCGGUGGGGAAAGGUGCUUUUACCAGCGGUUCGAACCGGUGGCAUUUAAAAAAAAAAAACAAACCCGCCUAAUUAUACUACCUUCUUUUUCCUUCGUUCAGCACUAUUCCAUUCAUUCGCAUUCUCCAUAUCCCCUGCUUUCCCAUGCUGUUCUUCUCGCCUCCAUUACUGCAACUUCAUCAAUUAUUCUUCCUCUCUCGUUCUCGCCUACAUACGACCCUCACCAUUGUUCUCGUCCUUCCUGUCGUCCUCCAUUGAAGCACAUUCUGGGUUUCUCACCUCCAUUGCCGCGCAACUCUUCUCUUUCUCUCCAUAACUCUCCUCCAUUAAAGCGCAUUCUGUCGAGCAUUCUUACCUCCAUUGAAGCGCAUUCUGACUUUCCAACUGCUUUGAGGUUUGAUCCACUGACAGAAUCAUACCAUUAUGACAUGGAGGGUACUGGUGUAAUAUGCUCAGCGGUCGACAUCCUCCCUACUGAGUUUGCCAAAGAGAUUCAUAUGUGAAUUGAAGCACAAGUUUAGCUUGAAGACUACAAAUUUAGCUUAAUUGUGGUGGAUGAGGUGGAGGAUGAAGGGGAGAAUGAAAUGAUGCGUGGUGUUGAAGGUGACGUGUUUGAGUCGCUAUCGGAGGCUUCUAAAAAGCCUUUGUAUCCUAGGUGCAAAAAAUACUCCAAACUAUCAGCUGUUGCGCACAACAAGAUAACGGGGUUGAUUGCGGACUAUACGUGAUGAGAUUCAUGUUGGACAUAAUGACUCAUUGCACAGACUUACAACAGCUUGAUGAGUUUUGCAAGGUGCAGAAAGGAGGUCCAUUGAUGAGCAAAGAGCUGAAUGAAGUUCGAGAUAUUUUAGCGUCUUUCAUUACAUAUAAUUUAAUUUGAACUUGUAAACUUGUACAUUAAUUAUUAGUAUAGUUUGUAAAUAUAACACCUUUUAAUUAAUGAGUUGUAAAAGCUAUAUGACAUUUCAUUGUAUCGCAUUUACGGUUAUUAAUUAAUAUUUAUGUAUUGUUGUCAUUAUUCCAAUGUAAUAAUUAUCAUAUUAUUAGUAUUUUUAAUAAUAAUAAUAAUAAU